rnacentral:sRNA from 1 species
ACGUACCGCGCGUACGCCUCAGUUCUGGGCCCGUCGUCCACGCCCGCCUGGCGACUGCUCGCACCGUUCUGUCAGCC